CCUACGUAGGGCAGCAGUCGAGAAUCAUUCACAAUGGGGGAAACCCUGAUGGUGCGACGCCGCGUGGGGGAAUGAAGGUCUUAGGAUUGUAAACCCCUGUAAUGUGGGAGCAAAUUAAAAAGAUAGUACCACAAGAGGAAGAGACGGCUAACUCGGUGCCAGCAGCAGCGGUAAGACAGUGGUCGCAAGCGUUGUUCGGACUCACUGGGCGUAAAGCGAGCGGAGGCUGUUUCGUAAGACGUGUGUGAAAGGCGCGGGCUCACCCGUCGGACUGCACAUGAUACUGCGAGACUCGAGUAAUGUAGGGGUAGCCGGAAUUCUCGGUGUAGCAGUGAAAUGCGUAGAUAUCGGGAGGAACACUCGUGGCGAAGGCGGGUUCCUGGACAGUAACUGACGCUGAGGCACGAAGGCCAGGGGAGCGAAAGGGAUUAGAUACCCCAGUAGUC
rnacentral:rRNA from 1 species